GGAAAACCCCCCGCAAAUUUAAAUAUUAAAAAAGGGGGGGAAAAA
rnacentral:rRNA from 1 species